UAACAGGUGUGACGCAGGAAGGUAGCCAAGCCACGCGGUGGUUGUCGUGGUCUAAGCGUGUAGGAUGACUGGUUGUUAAAUGCGCCGGUUGUGUGUCUGAGACGUGAUGGGACCCCUUGUUUGUGGGGGAUUUGGUGAUCCUAUGCUGCCGAGAAAAGCAUCGGCGUGAGGUUUUAGCUGCCCGUACCCGAAACCGACACAGGUGAUCAGGUAGAGAAUACUAAGGCGAUCGAGAGAAUCAUGGUUAAGGAACUCGGCAAAAUGCCCCCGUAACUUCGGGAGAAGGGGGGCCCU
rnacentral:rRNA from 1 species